UUUAAAGUGAUGAUAAUGCCAAUGUUAUAAACUGACUCGUUGGAGCCUUGCUGGACUUGUUCAUUGCUGCUGUCCCAGGGUCCAAGGUGAUGGUGGUGGUGGUGGUGGGGUGCUCACCAGACUUGGGGUAAUGAGACAGCAGAAGGCAGAUUCAUCUAUUUCUUCUCUGUUGCUUUGGUGUUCAGUGUGAAAAUGACCAGCUAGCUGAUACAGGAGGCAAAGAGAUGAAGCACACACAUAAGUCAGGAAGAAUUUCCCAGAUUUUUUGAACCUACACUUGUCCUUCCACUGGAAUCCUGCUGUACUUCUUGAUCAGUAGAAAGACAGAAACAGGUGAGCUGGUGCUGGAGGUCAGUUGAGCAGAUGUUGGCAGCUGUUGAAGCUCUACUUGAUAACUUGCUGGGAAGAAGGAGCAGUGGAAAGAGCAGAACCUUUGGCCAAUGCCUAUGACUGUGCAGCUGAUUGUGAUUGGAAAAAAAACACACACAACCACACUGCCUGGUCUCAUUUCUACAUCCUUGACCAUGGAUUUCAGGUGGUUCUUUCAAGUGCUACCUGACAAUAAGGGAAGGGGAUAUUUAUCUGGAUGGAAGACUCCAAAUGGUGACGAUUUUCUUCUCUCCCACCUUCCUUCCUCAACCCACACCAAGGAUUGAUUGUAGGUUUAUGUGAUAACAAUUAUCCAAGAUAGCUCCCAAUAUCUAUAGUCUUGUGUUCAACUUCCACAUUGAAUCAGAGCUUUGUGACUAAGUGUAUGAAGAAAGUGAUAUUGUUUGACAUCCAGACUAGAUCAUAAAAGAUAUUGCAACUCUAAACUUCUCUCUUGGAUCACAUACUUGGAAGAAAUGUCAUAAGAAUACUCAAGCAGCCCUGUAGAGAGGCCAAAAUGGAUACAUACUGAUUUACUACUAUCAACUUGCCAGCCUUAUGUGUGAGUCACCCAAGAAAUGGAUCCUCCAGCCAUCUUUUAGACAAGAAGGACAACCACAUGAGAGGUUUGAGUCAUAACUGUCCAGUGCAGCCCCUUUCAAACUGCUGACUCACAGAAAUUGAGAAAUAUUAUAAAUGAUUAUUAUUUUUUAAGCCACAAAGUCUUGAGGUGAUUCUUUAAAUAAUAAAUGGAAAAAUAAUAGUGUAUUACUUGCUUCUCAACUGCAUUGCAAACUCCUCCAGCAUAGAACAUUUGUUAGAAAUCUUAAAAUCCAGGCUAUUAUUCAGAUACCAUUCAACACUAUAGCAAAAUUAGAUAUUGCAUUUAGAAUUAGAGAAGGAGCCAUCAUUUACUGAAUGUCUACUAAGGGAAUUUACAUAUGCAUGAGCUUUAUAUACAUGGAAAUGGCUACAUACAUAGAUAUAGAACAAGAUGUUCUUUAAAGACAUAAAACACUGUACCCAAGCUGCAAAGUUAUGAAGUCAAAUUUUCUCUUUCUUUUAUCAUCAUUUCCCAGGCUUUUUUAAAAAGUAAGAUGAUGAUUUUGAGAGCAUUUAAUAAGCUACAGAGUGUUCUGUAGACAUAAGGCAUUAUGGCUUGCAUCUAUUUCUUUCUCUAUUGAGUGCUUUAAAGGAAUGCUUUGAUACUUCUACUCUGGUGUUUAUUUUGCUUUGCUAAGACUAGAAUUAGACUUUUCCUUGUGAUACAAACAUCUCAAGUAAAUGGCAAAAGAAAGUACUUUGGUAUUGCAUUGUCUCUCUUGCUAUGUGCCUAAUGAGUGUUUGUUAAAAAUUACAUCAGUUGAAGUCUCUGAAGGGAAGAGAUGGCCCACUGAGAUGGGUAAUGGAUGAAAGUUUAACCGGGUUAAGGGAAAUGAAAGGAAAGAUAUGGACCCCAGAGAGUGUAAUGAAACUGCAGGAGAAGGCUGGCCAACAACUAUGCGUCUUGGUAGAGAAUGAAGCCAACUGGAUUUAACCUUGUAAUGAGGGACCAGAGGGAAUUAGUUCUUUGACUUUACCCUCCUUGUACAUUUUGCUCUCCUGUCCAUGCUUUCAUACUGGCUGACUGCACCCCAAAACCAGAGUAAAGAAGCUGGGGGAUGAUGUUUAUACUGGUCAUCUUUCUGGGGCACAGAGGAGGAUGGAGAAUAGUAGAUAAUUAAUUGAAGAACAAUGGAAAAUAUACAAUGGAAAAUAUCCAAUAAUUGCUACAAAGUGUAGCAUUAUUUAUAUAAUAGCAAAAUAACCCAUCUUCAACAGCUUAUGGUAGGCAGGAAAACCAGAGAUUUAUUUGAAGGGACAGCUAGACACAAAGCUUUAUAUCAGGCAGGGUUAUGCCCUCAACUAGUAGCUGGAGUCUUUUUGUUAAUGAGAAAAAGUCCUUUAAGUUUGAAAAGGAAUAUUGAAUAUAUAACUAUGCUAAUGGCAUUGCCAUUGAAACUGGUUGGAUCUAACUUCCUAGCUACUUAGCUAUGUAAAUGUGACCUACCUAGAAAAUACUGAAAAACCACCUAGAAUCAAGCUUCAGUCAAACGGAUAGUAUUUUUUUCUGUAUCCAUUUAUAACUUCUUCAUUUGAUGACAACUUCUUUUAGAAUAAUUUUGGUAGUAUUAUUCCAUGUCUGAUAUGCAUGAAGGUUCAUAUUUUAGCCACUAACUUAACUCUAAAACAUCUUUCAAUUUGAACUAUAAAAUUUUUAUAAUGCCAGUAAAGGGAAAUUCAGACUCAUAACUUGAAAAAAAAUCUGCUAACUGGCAUUUUAUUUUAACUCAUGUGGUACUUCCAUAAUUUUAAAUUGUGAUAAUCCCUCACAAUUAUAAAAAGCUGGUAAUUUUCUCAUAUUUUGCCUAGGUGUGCAGAACUUUCAAUAUAUAUGCAUUUAUGCUGUAACUUUUUUUUUAUUUGCUAUCGUUAUGUCAAUGUGACACUAUAAGCCUAUAAAAUAUUCCUAAUUAUGUGACUGAUUUUAGAUACUCUUUGGGAUUAUAUAGCCUCUGACAGGAGUUUCUUAGCUGCAUGCUUGGACAUCAUAUUUUACCUAAGACAGGUACUUUUCUCAAUUUAUUGUA